AUACGGAGGAUGCAAGCGUUAUCCGGAUUCAUUGGGUUUAAAGGGUACGUAGGUGGCCUAGUAAGUCAGUGGUGAAAUCCUGCCGCUUAACGGUAGAACUGCCAUUGAUACUGCAAGGCUUGAGUACAGUUGAGGUAGGCGGAAUGUGUAGUGUAGCGGUGAAAUGCUUAGAUAUUACACAGAACCCCGAUUGCGAAGGCAGCUUACUAAACUGUAACUGACACUGAGGUACGAAAGCGUGGGGAGCGAACAGGAUUAGAUACCCUGGUAGUCCACGCCGUAAACGAUGCUCACUCGCUGUAUGCGAUACACAGUAUGCGGCCAAGCGAAAGUGUUAAGUGAGCCACCUGGGGAGUACGUCGGCAACGGUGAA
rnacentral:rRNA from 1 species